rnacentral:rRNA from 1 species
GACGAACGCUGGCGGCGUGCUUAACACAUGCAAGUCGAACGGUAAGGCCCUUCGGGGUACACGAGUGGCGAACGGGUGAGUAACACGUGGGAGAUCUGCCCUGCACUUCGGGAUAAGCCUGGGAAACUGGGUCUAAUACCGGAUAGGACCCUGGGAUGCAUGUCCUGGGGUGGAAAGCUUUUGCGGUGUGGGAUGGGCCCGCGGCCUAUCAGCUUGUUGGUGGGGUGAUGGCCUACCAAGGCGACGACGGGUAGCCGGCCUGAGAGGGUGACCGGCCAGACGGGGACUGAGAGACGGCCCAGACUCCUACGGGAGGCAGCAGUGGGGAAUAUUGCACAAUGGGCGCAAGCCUGAUGCAGCGACGCCGCGUGAGGGAUGACGGCCUUCGGGUUGUAAACCUCUUUCAGCACCGACGAAGCGCAAGUGACGGUAGGUGCAGAAGAAGGACCGGCCAACUACGUGCCAGCCGCCGCGGUAA